AGAGUUUGAUCCUGGCUCAGAACGAACGCUGGCGGCGUGCCUAAUACAUGCAAGUCGAGCGAGAAAGUCUCUUCGGAGGCGAGUAAAGCGGCGCACGGGUGAGUAACACGUGGGUAACCUGCCCUUGAGUCUGGGAUAACCCGGGGAAACCCGGGCUAAUACCGGAUACGGCUGCGGGGUCUUCGGGUCCUGCAGAGAAAGAUGGCCUCUUCAUGAAUGCUAUCUCUCAAGGAUGAGCCCGCGUCCUAUUAGCUAGUUGGUGGGGUAACGGCCCACCAAGGCGAAGAUGGGUAGCUGGUCUGAGAGGAUGACCAGCCACACUGGAACUGAGACACGGUCCAGACUCCUACGGGAGGCAGCAGUAGGGAAUUUUGGGCAAUGGGCGAAAGCCUGACCCAGCAACGCCGCGUGUGGGAUGAAGGCCCUCGGGUCGUAAACCACUGUCAGGAGGAAAGAAAAACCGGCCGGGUAAUAUUCGGUCGGUCUGACGGUACCUCCAAAGGAAGCACCGGCUAACUCCGUGCCAGCAGCCGCGGUAAUACGGAGGGUGCAAGCGUUGUUCGGAAUUACUGGGCGUAAAGCGCGUGUAGGUGGUUGAGUAAGUCGAAUGUGAAAGCCCCGGGCUCAACCCGGGAAGUGCAUCCGAAACUGCUCGACUAGAGUCCCGGAGAGGAAGGCAGAAUUCCCAAUGUAGGGGUGAAAUCCGUAGAUAUUGGGAGGAAUACCGGUGGCGAAGGCGGCCUUCUGGACGGUGACUGACACUCAGACGCGAAAGCGUGGGGAGCAAACAGGAUUAGAUACCCUGGUAGUCC
rnacentral:rRNA from 1 species